rnacentral:rRNA from 1 species
UACGUAGGUGGCAAGCGUUGUCCGGAUUUACUGGGCGUAAAGAGCGCGCAGGCGGUCGGAUAAGUCGAAUGUGAAAGCCCCCGGCUCAACUGGGGAGGGUCAUUCGAUACUGUUCGACUCGAAGGCAGGAGAAGGAAGUGGAAUUCCCGGUGUAGUGGUGAAAUGCGUAGAGAUGUGGAGGAACACCGAUGGCGAAGGCAGCCCCCUGGGCCAAUACUGACGCUCAUGCACGAAAGCGUGGGGAGCAAACAGG